AGAAAUGCAGUGAAAGGGAUACGUCACAAAAGAGAACGCGAUUUCAGAGAGUCGUUGGGUGGUGCGAAGCGACAGAACGGAUUUUGUGAUAUCACCCGGGAGCAUCCCUCUGAAAUACUUAACAUAUUUAACAUCAGAGCUAAAGUAAGCAGGGACGUAAUCUUCACGUUACAGAAGAAACUGUUUGAGAAUGACAGUGAUGAGAGACUGUAGUUAGUGAUAAAUGCAGUAAUACAAAGUGGUACCACGGAAGAUAAAUCCGCCUUUGUU
rnacentral:ncRNA from 1 species